UGAAAGACAUGGGUAGUGA
rnacentral:ncRNA from 6 species